UACGUAGGGUGCAAGCGUUGUCCGGAUUUAUUGGGCGUAAAGAGCUCGUAGGCGGUCUGUUACGUCGGUUGUGAAAAUCCGGGGCUUAACCCCGGACCUGCAUCCGAUACGGGCAGACUUGAGUGUGGUAGGGGAGACUGGAAUUCCUGGUGUAGCGGUGAAAUGCGCAGAUAUCAGGAGGAACACCGAUGGCGAAGGCAGGUCUCUGGGCCACAACUGACGCUGAGGAGCGAAAGCGUGGGGAGCAAACAGGAUUAGAUACCCUGGUAGUCCACGCCGUAAACGGUGGGCGCUAGGUGUGGGGAACAUUCCACGUUCUCCGUGCCGCAGCUAACGCAUUAAGCGCCCCGCCUGGGGAGUACGGCCGCAAGGCUA
rnacentral:rRNA from 1 species